GUGGCAAAAUGGUUAAAAGAGACGACUAAAAUCCAGCAAAAAAUCAAGCAGUCAAGUAGUUAAUUGACUUUGCUUUAAUCAGCCCAAUGAAUAUUCAUUAGUGUGCUGGUCCUAAUCAUGGGGGCCAUGUUGUCCGCAUUUAGCAAGCGCACGCUCAGCAUCAUGCAUGCCUCAACAGCUUCCCUUCCUCUCCGCACUGACAUUAAAUUUAGAGGCUUUGCGCCUUCCCAGCUCGAAGGGAGCGGGAUUGGCCCAGCUGCUCGCUCNNNNNNNNNNNNNNNNNNNNNNNNNNNNNNNNNNNCAGUAAUCCAUAGGCUUAACGUAGAAAAUAUGUCUUUGUGGGGCAUGUGUGUAUAGAUAUAGAGAUGUAAGGCAGAGAUUGAAUGGGCGGAAGGCGAGCGCGUCUUCCAUUGUGUGACUUUCACGGCGGGAACGGGGUGAGGGAUCUCCUCCUCCACAGCCCAAGCUCUGCUUUGGGUUAUGAGCUUCACAUUUUCCAUUUUAUUUUAUUUAAAUUAAAAAUGCAUCAGCUCUCUCGCUUCAUUUCCAGACCCGUUCAAAGGGAGGAGGAAUAUUUCUCUCUCUGCCGUAACCCUCCCCUCCCCACCCCAGGAAGAAGCAGCGAGUGCUUUAAGGGCUAUAGGACCCUAUUAUCCACAUCGAGUUGAAGUUCCUCCUCCUGAAGGAGGUGGGUCUGGAAACGAGCUGCCCCAUAAAUCAAUGGAGAAGCGCAAGCAUGGAGCUGGAGUCACGGAGCGCUACAAAAAGUCCAGUGCUCUUGAGGAACAAGAAACCACCCAAGCUUAACCCACCAAAAAGAAAGGUUACUGAGUCUCUGCUGAAACCUCAAGGAGGAGAGCCUGUCCCCAGCUGGAGAAGCAGCAGGGAGGAGGAAAUCUGGAAAAUGGCACACUCUGAACCAGGGCAGAGUGUGCAUUUUCCCACUUUGCUGAAUUCCUGCAGGGAGAGAUGCAAAACCCAGCUGGAUGUGAGGGAACCAUCAGCACGAGCUCCUGAGUGUAUGGUGGAAGAUUAAAGCCAUUCUAAAUGAAAGAAGAGUGUGUAACAGGGUACAAGAUUUCUAAAUAGGUGGCACAUGUCAGCAGGCAUUACAAGAGUG
rnacentral:lncRNA from 1 species